rnacentral:rRNA from 1 species
GAUGAACGCUGGCGGCGUGCCUAAUACAUGCAAGUCGAGCGAACGGACGAGAAGCUUGCUUCUCUGAUGUUAGCGGCGGACGGGUGAGUAACACGUGGAUAACCUACCUAUAAGACUGGUAUAACUUCGGGAAACCGUAGCUAAUACCGGAUAAUAUUUUGAACCGCAUGGUUCAAAAGUGAAAGACGGUCUUGCUGUCACUUCUAGAUGGAUCCGCGCUGCAUUAGCUAGUUGGUAAGGUAACGGCUUACCAAGGCAACGAUGCAUAGCCGACCUGAGAGGGUGAUAGGCCACACUGGAACUGAGACACGGUCAAGACUACUACGGGAGGCAGCAGUAGGGAAUCUUCCGCAAUGGGCGAAAGCCUGACGGAGCAACGCCGCGUGAGUGAUGAAGGUCUUCGGAUCGUAAAACUCUGUUAUUAGGGAAGAACAUAUGUGUAAGUAACUGUGCACAUCUUGACGGUACCUAAUCAGAAAGCCACGGCUAACUACGUG